UGGGGUUCCCCGCUGAUCUUAGGGGUAAAACAGCGGGUCUUGUGGGAGUAUGUCCUUGCCAAGGGUUAUGUUUAAGGAUAUGGAGUGAGUUCAAUAAGUUUGCGGGUCUCAACCUCCCCUACUUAAAAGGGUUAACAUUAGGUUACCUGGGAUGUCGUGCCCAUUGAGCGUGGAUAAGGUGGGCUGGUGGCAGGCAAUGGAAGGAUAUGAUUUUAUGAUGAGGGGGGAGGUGAGAGGAAGUGGUACUUAGGAACAAUGUAUGUUUAUUGGCAAGAACGG